CUAUGUAAAUACAGAGCCAGAUUAAUGUUGCCAUGGACUUGAAGCAUCUCUGUUUCUGUGAGUGUAAGAGCCUAUUUAGUGGCUGAGUGUUGUGUGUGUGGAUGAGGCUGAAAGCUGUAUGGGCGGUGGCUAAGUUUGCCUGUGUGUCUAGCAUAAUGUACUUGUGUAUGUGCCUGAUCAUCCUUGUGUGUGUCUGUGUCCGGAAGUGUAUGUGUGCGGGUAGUUGCUUGCAUUGUGUUGUAAGGGAGGCUGCUCGUGGUCUUUGUGUGUUGUGUUUAUGGUGAGGCUGUGUUUCAAAUGGUGACUGUGCUUGACAAUCACUAUUGUCAGGGGUGAAUGUGAUAAGGUGAGUAGGG